CGCAAUGCUGAUAGGUCAAGGAACUUUGAGAGGAGGAGGGAGAAUGUUGUGAACAGAGACAUGCAGGGUAGGCCUCCUAUGCCAAAUAGUGGUGCUCCACCAAGCAAUGCAGGUGGAUAUGCACCUCCCGGCAACCAGGGGGGAUAUGCACCUCCCAGCAACCAAGGUGGAUAUGCUCCUCCCAGCAACCAGGGAGGAUAUGCUCCUCCCAGCAACCAAGGUGGAUAUGCUCCUCCCAGCAACCAAGGUGGAUAUGCUCCUCCCAGCAACCAAGGUGGAUAUCCUCCUAACAGUGCCGGUGGAUACGCCCCACCAAAUGCAGGUGGAUAUGCUCCACCCAAUGCUGGAGGUGGUUACCCUCCUCCUCCUCCUCCUAACAUGGGUGGUGGCUAUGGUCCUGGAGGGGUACCCCCCAACCAGAACACAGGAGGUUUUCAACCGAAUGCAGGAUGGUCAAACAAUGCUCCCAGUAGAGACGUGCCAAGCAGAGAUAUGGGAGGAGCACCUGGUGGAAACCCAUACACAGCGUGAGAUCACUGCCGAUUUUUCUAGCCUAUGUAGAUAAUGAAGAAUUGUGCCAAGACAACAUAGAGUUUAUGUCAUAUUUCUCAACGAAUUAAAAUUUAUUUUUCUUAAUUGUUACUCCUAUUUCCUAAUGAACCUGCAUGUUGGGUAUCUGAAGUUCACAAUUUUUGAUGGCUAGAUUCGAUCUAUGGGCUUAUGACUGUCUAACUUAUUGUAUGUUGCUUUACAAACCUAUGUAACGGUUGGCAGUAAUAUAUCUUUAGCGUCUUAGUUUCUUGAGAAGCUUGACUCUUUAGAAGCACUAUUAAGAAUAUUUAAGUUGAGUAAAACUUUAAGAUGAUAUGAUGAUUGGUCUGCAAGGAGGUUAU
rnacentral:lncRNA from 1 species